rnacentral:rRNA from 1 species
AUCGAACGCUGGCGGCAUGCCUUACACAUGCAAGUCGAACGGUAACGGGCCUUCGGGUGCCGACGAGUGGCGAACGGGUGAGUAAUGCAUCGGAACGUACCUUUCAGUGGGGGAUAACGUAGCGAAAGUUACGCUAAUACCGCAUAUUCUGUGAGCAGGAAAGCAGGGGAUCGCAAGACCUUGCGCUGAUUGAGCGGCCGAUGUCAGAUUAGCUAGUUGGUGAGGUAAAGGCUCACCAAGGCGACGAUCUGUAGCGGGUCUGAGAGGAUGAUCCGCCACACUGGAACUGAGACACGGGCCAGACUCCUACGGGAGGCAGCAGUGGGGAAUUUUGGACAAUGGGGGCAACCCUGAUCCAGCCAUGCCGCGUGAGUGAAGAAGGCCUUCGGGUUGUAAAGCUCUUUCGGUCGGGAAGAAAUCGCAUGAGUUAAUACCCUGUGCGGAUGACGGUACCGGCAUAAGAAGCACCGGCUAACUACGUGCCAGCCGCCGCGGUAAUAC